rnacentral:rRNA from 1 species
ACGCGAAGAACCUUACCCAGGCUUGAACAGCGAGUGACCAUCGACGAAAGUUGACUUCCGCAAGGACACUCGUAGAGGUGCUGCAUGGCUGUCGUCAGCUCGUGUCGUGAGAUGUUGGGUUAAGUCCCGCAACGAGCGCAACCCUUGUUUGCUGUUGCCAUCAGGUAAUGCUGGGCACUCUGCAAAGACUGCCGGUGAUAAACCGGAGGAAGGUGGGGAUGACGUCAAGUCAGCAUGGCCUUUAUGUCUGGGGCUACACACGUGCUACAAUGGCCGAUACAAACCGUCGCGAGCCCGCAAGGGGGAGCUAAUCGGAGAAAGUCGGUCUCAGUUCGGAUAGCAGGCUGCAACUCGCCUGCUUGAAGUUGGAAUCGCUAGUAAUCGCGGAUCAGCACGCCGUGGUGAAUACGUUCCCGGGCCUUGUA